rnacentral:rRNA from 1 species
AAUCAACGCUGGCGGCGUGCCUCAGACAUGCAAGUCGAACGCGAAAGUUUCCUUCGGGGGAUGAGUAGAGUGGCGCACGGGUGAGUAACACGUAGGUAAUCUACCUUUGGAUGGGGAAUAACAAUCGGAAACGGUUGCUAAUACCGCAUAAUGCAGCGGCACCUAAUGGUGGCAGUUGUUAAAGCGGGGGAUCGAAAGACCUCGCGUCUGAAGAGGAGCCUGCGGCGGAUAGCUAGUUGGUAAGGUAACGGCUUACCAAGGCGACGAUCCGUAGCCGGCCUGAGGAGGGCGGUCGGCCACACUGACACUGACAUACGGGUCAGACUCCUACGGGAGGCAGCAGUCGGGAAUUUUGGGCAAUGGGCGAAAGCCUGACCCAGCAACCGCCGCGUGAAGGAUGAAAU